CAGCUUCACUAGAAUCAUAGAAUCAUAAAAUAGUUUGGGUUGGAAAGGACCUUUAAAGAUCAUCUAAUUCCAACCCCUGCAGUGAACAGGGACAUCUUCAACUAGAUGAGGUUGCUCAGAGCCCUGUCCACCCUGGCCUUGAAUGUCUCCAGGGGUAAUGUUCCACUGAUUUUCUACAUUAUAUUAUUACAUACAUAGAUGUAAGUGAGCUGAAAAAAACCAACUGAAAAAGAUGGUGCAUUUGUGCAAUGGUUAUUCCAAAUAAGCAAUUCCAAACUUAAGACAGAGUAAUUAAGGUGAAUUUUAUAGUGUUUCAUAUGAAGUAAUUUCCCAUUUCACUGAAGUAAACAGGUAAGUUCCUACUGGAUGGAGUGGAACCUAGAUAGAAGUUACAAUCCAGGUCAGUGAUUCAGCUUGUUUCGCAAAAAUUCCUUUAUUACUAAAAUUCCAUGAAAGACAGAUAAGUUUUGUGCAUUGAAACCAUUAAGUGUACAUAACCUUGGGUUUACCAAAAGCUCAGAAGAUCAUAAAGGGCUCAAAUAUACCAACUGACUAAUAGAAAAUUAUAAGCAUCCUCCUUAAACACAUAUCAAGACUGCUCAGGAGCUUGAAGCACUGAGCUCACAUAAAAGAAGAGAAAGUUCCUUACCAGUACAAAUAGAUACAAAGUAAAUAAAUAUUCUUCUCAGACAGCUCUAAUAAUCUGAACUCUCACUUGUUUCAAGGUAAGGAAGUUGCAUGCUUUCAGCCUGAAGGAAGGAUCUACAGAAAUAGAGAUGUCUCUCCAUGACUCUGUGGAGAAUUUAUGGACUCCGUGAGUCCAUUUUGGCAUCCAGCAGCCAAGUCCUUCAUCAUCACUACACUGCCUGCAUUUGUAACGAAGAAAAGCUACACAACCUCAUCUUGCUUCCCAGAUGUAAUGCCAUCCCCUGUAGCAACCUCCUCUGUGUCUGACGAGUUGGUUUCACUAUAUAAAUACCUCCAUAAUUACAUAUGGAACUGUUAGUAACUACAAUGUCAUUUUUCCACAAUGUCAUGCUAUGGGUGUCUGAGUGUCAAAGCUUCUAACCACAUAGACUGCCAGGCUGUUGAAGCCAUCCCUUAGGAUGACUGCUCUCAUGUAAGGGAAAUUAUUACUGGCUAAGAAAUUAUAAUGUUUAUGUUUCAAACAAUAAGAAACCUUACUCUAAGUUUAUUCAUAAAAAUGAUAUCCCUAGAAUUUUAAUAUGUUUGUAACACUUAUUUCUGAAAAAGACAGUGGGUUUCACCUGUCACCUGAAUCACAAAAUAUUUCCAUGACAUCUAGAUGAGAUCAUCAUAUUUCUGGUACUAUUACUUUUCCUAUAGAGUUUAACUACUGCUGCAAGCCACAAGAACACGAGAAAGACACUAACAUUGUUCUGUGCUUCUUUUACACUUCCUGUAUUUGUUUUUAAUUUUAUUGCUCCUUUUGCCAUUAAGGCAAUUAACCCCCCCACACACCCUAAAGCCAACCAAUCAAUCAACCAAAUUAACUAAACAAACUAAAAACCCCCAUUCUAUAGGAACACACCAUCAUAAUACCAUAAUGCCAUAAUAUGAAAAUCCUAUUCACCUUGAAUUAAUUUCUUUAGCAAAAAAAGAAA